rnacentral:rRNA from 1 species
AUGGCGAGCGCAGGCCAGCGGUGCGCCGGCUGCUACGGCGGCAUCGGACGCUUGGAGGCCGCCUUCUCGUCGGAGUGCGCCCACACUUUCCACCCGCUCUGCGUCUCCGGCGCACACACGUGUCCCUCCUGUUCCGCGUUCUGGAGCUUCACGCCGACCUUCCAGCCGUCUCCCUUCCAGCCGCAGCCUGCCCGGAUGCCGCCGCCCGUGCGUCACGACGCCGCUGCUGCUUCGAGGUCGGCGUGCGGCGUGUGCAAGUGCGCCUUUGUAUACGGCUCCCCAACCUUCACGUCCGAGUGUCAGCACAGGUUCCAUCUCGCCUGCGCCACCGGCUCCGUCUGCCCGGUCUGCAACGCCCGCUGGCCAUACCAGGUGUCCUGCUACCCUUACUUACACCCGUACCAGUUCCCGCCGCCGCCGCCGAUGCCGAGGCCGAUGCCGAUGUGGACGUCUCCCUUCGUGGACCAACCAUCGCCAGCCGUGUACGACGACGACGAGCCGUUGGAGCCUCUGGCGGCGCAGGGGGCGCCGCUCGACGACUGGGAUCUCGUCCAGGACGCGGCCAACGGCGGAGGCAGGCUCGUCCUCGACGCGCACUGCGAGCACCCGGCCGUCGCGAGGGGGGAGCCGCACGACAGCUUCGUAGUGCUUGUCCACGCUAAGGCCCCCGGCGCAGCCACCGCGGCGGCGGCGGAGCAGACACGCACGCCGCUUGACCUCGUCACCGUGCUGGACGUCAGCGGCAGCAUGACGGGCCGCAAGAUCGCGCUGCUGAAGAAGGCCAUGGACUUCGUCGUCGACCAGCUAGGCCCUGCUGACCGUCUCAGCGUCGUCGCCUUCUCAACGGACGCGCGUCGGCCCAUCCCGCUGACGCGCAUGUCGGACGCCGGGAAAGUCAAGGCCAAGGGCGCCGUGCAGUUGCUCAUGGCUAAUGGUGGAACAAAUAUCCUCAAGGGCCUCACUGAAGCUGCCAAGGUGCUCGACGGCCGCCGGCACAAGAACGCCGUCGCCAGCGUCAUCCUCCUCUCGGACGGCCAGGACACGUACAACCUGGGAGGAGGAGGAGGAGGUUACGGCUACGGCUCGGUCUCCUACUCCAAGAACUACCGUGCUCUCGUGCCAGGCUCCUUGCUGAGCGGCGCCGGCCACCGAUCCACGCCGGUACACACGUUUGGCUUCGGCGGCGACCACGACUCGUCAGCCAUGCACACGAUCGCCGAGGAGACCGGCGGCACCUUCUCCUUCAUCGAGGACGAGAAGGUGGUGCAGGACUCGUUCGCGCAGUGCAUCGGCGGGCUCCUCUCCGUCGUCCUGCAGGAGGCGCUCAUCACCGUCAAGUGCGUGCACCCCGUGCGCGUCCGGGCAGUCAAGUCCGGCCGCUACGACAGCAGCAUCGACGCGUACGCGCGCUCCGCCUCCGUGGACGUCGGCGAGCUGUACGCGGACGAGGAGAGGCGCUUCCUGCUGCUGGUGGACGUGCCCAAGGCCGGCGACGCUGACGAAGUGACGCAGAUCAUGAAGGUGACCUGCACCUACCGCGACACGUCGACAGGGCAGGUGGUGGACGUGGCCGGCGAGGACGUGGCGGUGCAGAGACCCGUGGAGGUGGCCAAGGACCAGCAGCCGUCCAUGGAGGUCGCGCGGGAGAAGUUCCGCGCGGAGGCGACCGAGGACAUCGCGGCGGCGCGGGCCGCCGCGGAGCGCGGCGAGUACGCGGAGGCCGCGAGGAUACUGGACCGCAGGCAGGAGGCGCUGCUGCCGGCGCUGGCCGACGACGCGAGGUGCAAGGCGCUGGUGGAGGAGCUGCGCGAGCUGAGCACCCGCGUGGCGAGCCGGCGGGAGUACGAGAAGUCGGGGCGCGCGUGCAUCCUGACCGGCUACAGCUCCCACGCGCAGCAGCGCGCCGCGUCCGCCUGCGUGGCCGGUGCCGGAGGAGGAUACCGUUGUCCACCGCCGCCCGGCGGGGCCGGGGGCAUGGGCAUGGGCGGGGCGGCGUCGGUUUUUGGUUUCGGUGCGGCGGGGGCGUACGCGACGCCGGCGAUGCAGAUGAUGGUGGGCGCGUCGAGGCAAGUACGUGAGCAGCAGCAGCAGCAGCCGGCGACGUUGAAGAGGAAGAGCGGAAGCGACGGCGUCAACUAA